rnacentral:rRNA from 1 species
GCGUAAGCGCACGCAGGCGGUCUGUCAAGUCGGAUGUGAAAUCCCCGGGCUCAACCUGGGAACUGCAUUCGAAACUGGCAGGCUAGAGUCUUGUAGAGGGGGGUAGAAUUCCAGGUGUAGCGGUGAAAUGCGUAGAGAUCUGGAGGAAUACCGGUGGCGAAGGCGGCCCCCUGGACAAAGACUGACGCUCAGGUGCGAAAGCGUGGGGAGCAAACAGGAUUAGAUACCCUGGUAGUCCACGCCGUAAACGAUGUCGACUUGGAGGUUGUGCCCUUGAGGCGUGGCUUCCGGAGCUAACGCGUUAAGUCGACCGCCUGGGGAGUACGGCCGCAAGGUUAAAACUCAAAUGAAUUGACGGGGGCCCGCACAAGCGGUGGAGCAUGUGGUUUAAUUCGAUGCAACGCGAAGAACCUUACCUACUCUUGACAUCCAGAGAACUUUCCAGAGAUGGAUUGGUGCCUUCGGGAACUCUGAGACAGGUGCUGCAUGGCUGUCGUCAGCUCGUGUUGUGAAAUGUUGGGUUAAGUCCCGCAACGAGCGCAACCCUUAUCCUUUGUUGCCAGCGGUCAGGCCGGGAACUCAAAGGAGACUGCCAGU